rnacentral:rRNA from 1 species
UGGGGAAUAUUGGACAAUGGGGGCAACCCUGAUCCAGCAAUGCCGCGUGAGUGAAGAAGGCCCUAGGGUUGUAAAGCUCUUUCAGCGGGGACGAUGAUGACGGUACCCGCAGAAGAAGCCCCGGCUAACUCCGUGCCAGCAGCCGCGGUAAUACGGAGGGGGCUAGCGUUGUUCGGAAUUACUGGGCGUAAAGGGCGCGUAGGCGGCGACGUCAGUCAGGUGUGAAAGCCCUGGGCUUAACCCAGGAACUGCACUUGAUACUGCGACGCUAGAGUCCGGGAGAGGGUAGUGGAAUUCCCAGUGUAGAGGUGAAAUUCGUAGAUAUUGGGAAGAACACCAGUGGCGAAGGCGGCUACCUGGACCGGUACUGACGCUGAGGCGCGAAAGCGUGGGGAGCAAACAGGAUUAGAUACCCCCGUAGUCC